CCCUUAGAUGUUCUGGGCCGCACACGCGCUACACUGAAGGAGGCAGCGUGUACUCCUGGAUCGAAAGAUUUGGGUAACCCGCGAAUCUCCUUCGUGCUAGGGAUUGAGGUUUGCAAUUAUCCUUCAUGAACGAGGAAUUCCCAGUAAGUGCAAGUCAUAAGCUUGCGCUGACUACGUCCCUGCCCUUUGUACACACCGCCCGUCGCUACUCCCGAUUGAAUGAUUUAGUGAGGACUUCGGACUGGGACCGAUGCGGCUUUCGGGCUGCGUCGGUAUUCUGGAAAGAUGUCCAAACUGUAUCAUUUAGAGGAAGUAAAAGUCGUANCA
rnacentral:rRNA from 1 species